rnacentral:rRNA from 1 species
GUAGGUGGCAAGCGUUGGCCGGAAUUAUUGGGCGUAAAGCGCGCGCAGGUGGGUUCUUUAAGUCUGAUGUGAAAGCCCCCGGGCUCAACCGGGGAGGGUCAUUGGAAACUGGGGAACUUGAGUGCAGGAGAGGAAAGUGGAAUUCCACGUGUAGCGGUGAAAUGCGUAGAUAUGUGGAGGAACACCAGUGGCGAAGGCGACUUUCUGGCCUGUAACUGACACUGAGGCGCGAAAGCGUGGGGAGCAAACAGGAUUAGAUACCCUGGUAGUCCACGCCGUAAACGAUGAGUGCUAAGUGUUGGGGGGUUUCCGCCCCUCAGUGCUGCAGCUAACGCAUUAAGCACUCCGCCUGGGGAGUACGGUCGCAAGACUG